rnacentral:lncRNA from 1 species
AGAUAAUCUGUGUUUAUCAUGGAUAACCAGGUGCAAUAACACAUCAAAACUCAAUUAAACAUUGACCUACAGCAACAAUUGCUACAGAAGUGACAUUUAUUGAUAUUCUGCUGUAUUUACAGGUUGAACAUUGUAAAACUCCAAAGUGAAUGACCACUUGGCAGAAAGCACAGGAGUGCACAUUAAAUCUACAUUUCCAAUGCAUCAGAGUCUCUGCUAACACAAAUUAUAAAAGCAAGAAUUACAGGUAUGUUAGGAAUUGUCUCAAAAGUCGUAAGCCAAAGAAAAAAAAAGGCCUUUGUUUUGCAAGAUGGUUUUUAUACAAAGUUGCAACAUGAUCUUUUAGUUUUACACUACAGACCUGUUCCGUGAAAACCCCUGGGGAGCCCAAAAAGUUGGUGUGCGAAAGGAAAGGAUACUACAACACCGAGAGUAAAGACUGUUAAAAGUUAAUACUUGUGCCACUUCUAAAUUCCCAAUGACACCUCGGAGCCUGGACUGCAGCCACCCCUUUUCCUCCACAGGCCCCUGGGGGACUGCAGGAGCACAGCCACCCUGCUGACACACCUUCAGAGGUGCUGUCACCUCAGCUCCAGAGUCACCCUGCGUGCCAGACAGGACAGGGGGACAGGGAUGGACUGGGAUGGACAGCAGGACACGGGGGNNNNNNNNNNUGGGUUGUACAGGACACGAUGCACACAGGCUGGACAGGAUGUGGCACGUGGGGACUGUACAGGACAUGGGCUUACAUGGGCUGUGCAGGACACAGAGCACACACUGUGCAGGACAGGCUGUCACAGACUGUGCAGGACAGGCUGUCACACACUGCACACACAGGGUGUCACACACUGCACAGGGUGUCACACACACUGCACAGGGUGUCACACACACUGCACAGGCUGUCACACACACUGCACAGGGUGUCACACUCUGCCCAGCACAGGCAGAGCCCGGGCAGCUCCCAGGCUGGAGGAGGAACUAAAGCAAGCCUGGCCCCUGCUGGUCCCGGGACGGCUCCUGCUGCCCAAACACCACAAACUCCGGCUGAACGGCUCCAUCAGCACUCACUGCAAGAGCUGCUUCAAACAUUAGCCACUAAUGAGUCAACAAUUACAGAAUUCUGCGUUAAUUAUUAAAAUUUUACACCUAAAAACAAAUUGAAAGAAAUGCUUCUCCUUUUUUUUUUUUUUUACUUUUUCCAACAGUACUUUUAUUUAUUUAUUUUAAAGCAGGUGAUUAUUUUUUCUUCUGCUCCAGAGCCUUGAUUCACUUCCUGCAGGUGUCCUGCUGCUUCUUGGGGGGGAUUUCACUAAUGCAGGAAGACAUUUGCCAGAAAACAUCUGUUGGAGAAGGAUAUUGAACACCGACACUGCAGUCAGAGGGUUAUUUUGGAUAACAGGAGGAUGUUGUUCACACAGCACAGGAUGUCUAAGGGCUUAUGAAGUGUCUCAGCACACAAUGAUGUGACUCCAGCAAAAUGCUCAGGAAUCUGUGCGUAUUUUAUGGGAUAACACCAGGAUUGUGUCCAUUACUGCACAGAAAGCUGGAAUACUAAAUACUAAUACUAAACUCCAGCUUUUCGCCAGAUUCAUUUCACCAGGUUGCAUUUUCUUGUUUGCACUCAUUAUUGCUCUCCUAAUUUUCUAAAAAUUAUCCCUGCUCUGAAAUAAAAACUAAUCCUUCACUGUGCCCUUUGCA